rnacentral:rRNA from 1 species
GAUGAACGCUGGCGGCGUGCCUAAUACAUGCAAGUCGAGCGAACGGACGAGAAGCUUGCUUCUCUGAUGUUAGCGGCGGACGGGUGAGUAACACGUGGAUAACCUACCUAUAAGACUGGGAUAACUUCGGGAAACCGGAGCUAAUACCGGAUGAUAUUUUGAACCGCAUGGUUCAAAAGUGAAAGACGGUCUUGCUGUCACUUAUAGAUGGAUCCGCGCUGCAUUAGCUAGUUGGUAAGGUAACGGCUUACCAAGGCAACGAUGCAUAGCCGACCUGAGAGGGUGAGCGGCCACACUGGAACUGAGACACGGUCCAGACUCCUACGGGAGGCAGCAGUAGGGAAUCUUCCGCAAUGGGCGAAAGCCUGACGGAGCAACGCCGCGUGAGUGAUGAAGGUCUUCGGAUCGUAAAACUCUGUUAUUAGGGAAGAACAUAUGUGUAAGUAACUGUGCACAUCUUGACGGUACCUAAUCAGAAAGCCACGGCUAACUACGUG